CAGCCGCCGCGGUAAUACGGAGGGUGCAAGCGUUAAUCGGAAUUACUGGGCGUAAAGCGUGCGCAGGCGGUUCUAUAAGACAGAUGUGAAAUCCCCGGGCUCAACCUGGGAACUGCAUUUGUGACUGUAGAGCUGGAGUACGGCAGAGGGGGAUGGAAUUCCGCGUGUAGCAGUGAAAUGCGUAGAUAUGCGGAGGAACACCGAUGGCGAAGGCAAUCCCCUGGGCCUGUACUGACGCUCAUGCACGAAAGCGUGGGGAGCAAACAGGAUUAGAUACCCCGGUAGUCCCUGUCUCUUAUAC
rnacentral:rRNA from 1 species